AUGCCGGGCGCGCUGCCCGCGAGAGGCCGGGCCCUGCACAAGCCAGCCCGAAGCGCACAGAUUUUAAACCUUCUGCAAACAGAGGAACCUGGAAGACGCCUUGCAAGCUCGUCGGAGGGAGAUGGAGGACUUCUUGCGGAGAAAGCAUGCGGUGCAGGAGGACAUCUGCAGCCUGACGAAGGUGUCUGGGGAGCUGCACUGCAAGAUCCGAGCAGAAUUCACCCGACUUCACCAGAUCCUGGAGGAAAAGGAGAGGGCUGUGUUGGCAGAGCUAGGCGAAGAGGAAGAGCAGUCACUGGCACAGCUGCACGGCGAUGUCCGACGGCUGGAGGAAGGGAUCUCGGAGCUGCAGAGGGACAUAGAGCACAUAGAGCAAACCCUAAGCAAGAUGGAAGAGGUAUCGUUGCCGGAGCGAAAGCCCUGAGGCACUGGAGGGGA
rnacentral:lncRNA from 1 species